UACGUAGGUGGCAAGCGUUACUCGGAAUCACUAGGCGUAAAGCGCAGGUAGGAGGUUUGGUACGUCUAUUGUGAAAGCUCCCGGCUUAACUGGGAGAGGUCAAUGGAAACUACCAGGCUGGAGUGCGGUAGAGGUAGCUGGAAUUCCCGGUAUAGCGGUGAAAUGCGUAGAUAUCGGGAGGAAUACCUAUGGCGAAAGCAGGCUACUGGACCGUCACUGACUCUGAUCUGCGAAAGCUAGGGGAGCAAACAGG
rnacentral:rRNA from 1 species